UAUUGCUAGGAACUGCUGCUCAGGUGAGCGAUGUGGCCCAUGGGCCUCUUGUUACUUUUAAGUUUCAUAUAAACAUUUUCAAAAUUUGUGUGAUAAAAUCAUUCAAUCGUUAAAACUGCAGUCCUGUACUUGGAUUCAUGUGCGUUUCUCUCUGAUUUGUGGAUUUUAUUUUAGUAAUCUUUUACAAAAAUGAAAAAGCGACUAUUCUUGAAUGUUUCAAACUCAUUUCUAGAAUGCAACUGGAAAUCCUAAGAAUAUUCAUCUGAAUGUGAAUAUAAGAGAUUCACCAAUUUUUUCUCUAAUUUGUCCCCUUGUAAAAUGUUAAUACCUGGCUACUUGAGGAGCCGUUUUCAGAAUAUAAAUUAUGUAACUGUUCUCCGAUCCAGUUUAAAGUCUUAAAUGAACUUAUAAAUACCAUUUAUAAUGAUCAUUUUAGGUCACCUUGGUCACUCAGGUGACCUAUUGCUAUUGGUCUGCAAUUCUUUAAAACUCUUCUUCUCAAAUAACAAACUGGAUAUAUUGUAAUGUUGGUUUUGAACAUAUUUUAUUGAUCAAAUCAAAAGGAUAGGGAACAAGUUUUAACAGCUUACACGUCCCUCUCCUAAAAUAUUACAAUAUGUCAUGCAAGAUAAUAAUGAAGUAAAAUGUACAAUAAUUAGAUGAAUCUACAAAUUUCUUCUAUAAAUUUAUGAACAGCUAAAAACAUAUUCAUAUUAGUUCGCCGAGACAAAUUACAUGUAACAUCACCGCUUAAUAACAAUUCUAUAUCAAUAGUGACCAAGUCAAGCUCUAGAGUAAUUUUCACAAGCGAAAAAGAGAUGAUAUACAUCUUCGUUAUGUGCACAUGCACAAACCGGAGAAUUUGUAAUAUUUCGUUUUUAAAGAUCAUAACGAAAUAUACAAUUGUGUCUCAGCUUUGUAUGGAUAAUGUUGUUGUAUCGUUUUUCAAAACAGUUAUAUGAUGGUGGUCUUGUAAUGUCUGUUAUUAUAUUUUUGCGGAAUGAAUUGAUUGAGAUGGCCUGUUUUACGGAGCCAGGUAGAAAUGAUUUUUUGGAAAACCCUAACCUGCAUCUUGGAAUGUAAAACUGAUCUUUGUUUCUAGUAUUGUAAAGGGAUAUUUAGUAAUGAUAAGCAAGGAUGCCUCUACCAAAAUUAUAAAUUUCAUGAUCCCUGGGGUAGGGGCUGUAGUAAUGCCUGGUUGCGUUUGGGGGGUGGGGGAUGGCGGAAAGGGAGCCGGCUAAAAUGCUUGUAUAGUUAAAACACCUUUAGUAUUUACAAAUUCAAGAUAUUUUUUUUUUUAAAUUCUGAAUGAAAUUAGACACAAGUAUAGAAAGACCACAAGUUAUCUAACAAAUUGUUUAUUCUGUAAACCAGGUACAAGUUAUCUAACAAAUUGUUUAUUCUGUAAACCAGGUACAAGUUAUCUAACAAAUUGUUUAUUCUGUAAACCAGGUUGCAGGGUUGCAGGGGGGGGGGGGGGGGGGGGGUAAAAUGGUCAAAGAGAGUUAAUGUUUAUGAUGCUUGAAAUCUUCUAUUUAGUUCCUUUGAUGUUAUAUGAAAGUUGAAUGAAUAAAAAGAUGAGAUGAUAAAGGUGUUGCCUACCCGAGUAAUACUUUGGUGAAAGACAUGAUAUAUUGAACACUGAAUGCUUUUGUAAAGAGGUUAUAAUGCAGUCUACAAAAUAUUCCAUUUGUAAAGACUUUGGGGGAUUAUGCAAAUAUGAGACUCAGGUGCAUGAACUCAGGUGACCGUCAAGGCCUUUGGGCCUUUUGUUAAUCAAAGAUAUCGAUACAAUUAAGACUGUAGAAUAUCGUUGAACGUAAACAUUUAUUCUGAUACAUCGUAAGUGGGCUUACAUUUGUUUCCCACAAAACGCUUUUUUAAAAAAAUGAAUUUAAUGGGGUUUUUUUUUGGUUUUUUUUUUGUUUUUUGUUUUGUUUUGUUUUUUUACAAUUUCGUAUGUUUUAUACUUUCUUAGUAAUACUGUUGAGCAUUUUUCUAAAAUUUGUCUCUUUAAAAAAAUCAUGCAUCUACAUUCAAACUAUCGGCAACAUACAUUUUCGAUACUCAGAUCUAUGCAAUAUCAAUAUUUGUUGUACAAAGCCCGACUGACUCUAAAAUCAAAACGUGAAGGGGUUAAUCCUGUUAUGGGAAAAAAAUUACUAUAAUAUAGCCAUUUUUGGGGGGAGGGGGGGGGGCUACUAUGGGGAAAAGGCUACUAUACAACACCGGUGCCGGAUCCAGGAAUUGCGGUUAGGGGGCACAACUCUAUAAGGCAGGGAGUCUGGGGGCCGCAUUGAGGUGGGGGCCAGGGGACGAAGCCCCCGGAAGCUCCCGGAUAUUACAGAUUUUAUAGGGCUUGAAAUAUGUCUCCUACGUAGUCAUUUUUACUAUUUUCUGUCAUUCUUAAUACGAUGAAAUUAAUAAUUAUAUUUCUCAUGCGUCCCUUGUUCGUUUAACCCGGUACUUGUCCAUUAUUCAGACGGUAAUGUCCGUUAAUCUGUUAAUCGACCGUUCAUUGCCCUGUAUGUGUACAGUAAUCUAUGGAGCGCCAAAUUAACAUAAACUCAAAUAAUUGAAGAUAUCUUCAAUUAUUUCAAGAUAUCAUCAAUUCAUUUGAUGCGCUCAACAAUUUAAUUAAAGAUCUCUUCAAAUAAUUAAUGACAUCUUCAAUUCUGAAUUAUUGCGCGCAUUAAGAGAGAGCAACUAUAUAAUUAACGAUAUCUUCAAUUCAACAUAUUCACAAUUGAAUGAAUGACCUCUUCGAAUUGUUGCUCUCUUUAAAAGAAUUGAUGCGCGCAUUAAUUCCUUAUACAAAAGCAUUGUAAAUGAUUUAAAGAUAUCUUCAAUUGAAUUAAAGAGAUCAUCAAAUAAUUUAUACCGAGCUCUAAAUUAAGUAUUGCGAGCAAUAUUUCUACUAAAUUGAUGCUCUCAUCAAUUGAAUUGAAGAGAGCAAUAAUUGAAUUAAUGCACGCAUCAAAUCUAUUAUUGCUCUCAUUAAUUGAAUUAAUGCAUGCAUCAAUUGAAUUGAAGAGAGCAAUAAUUGAAUUAAUGCGCGCAUUAAAUCAGUUAUUGCUCUCAUUAAUUCAAUUGAUGAGAGCAAUAAUUAAAUUGAAGCGCGCAUUAAUUCAUUUGAUGAGAGCAAUAAUUGAUUCAAUGCGCGCAUUAAUUCAAUUAAAGAGAGCAAUAAUUGAAUUGAUGAUAUCUUCAAAUGAUUGAAGAUAUCUUCAAUUAUUUGAGUUUAUGUUAAUUUGGCGCUCCAUAGUAAUCGUGCGGUUAUUUUGCGGUUAUUUUGCGUUUUAUACGCUUCAUACACCGAUCACAGGAGCGCCGAGCAGCGGCGGGAACGACUCUCAUCAACGGAUAGACCGCACCAACGGCCAGCAUUAUCACUACGUCACAAUUAUUUUUAUCCGUGCGACGUCCGUGUAUGCUAUUCGGCAAGGUGUGACUACAUCCAUUUGGUAACCACAGUGAAAGGGAUGAGUUGUACUAUCAUCAUAUGAAGAACCAUACCAGGAAGUGCAGAUUUCUUCCUCAUGGCCACAUGGAAAUUGACUGUUUAAAACUAGUUUCUGGAUAAUAACUCAAGUACUUUGCAUUCUAUUCAAACCAAAUUUGGACAUAUGAAUACAUACAAAGAAGGAAAGAUGCCUAUCAAUUUUGGGGUCAGAAGGUCAAAGAUCAAGGUCACAGUGCAUGGAAAUUAGAAAAUGCUGAUGCGGGGGCAUAUGUUUUACACAUUCUGUAGUUAUAAAUGAAUUAGUAUUGUAUAUAUGUAUAUAUUAUUUAUGUUUUCUGAUUAUUUAUCAUAUAAUGAAAUAAAUAUAUAGAAUUUGUAAAUAUGAAUUAAAAAAUAAAUAUUUUAUAACAAAUCGUAUAUUGUUAUUGUUUAGAAUGUAUGUCAGUGUAAGAAGGGGGAUGGGGACACAAAAUGGUGCAAAUCAAACACUACCCCACACAUUUUUUUCAUUUAAAUUAAACAAAAAUAUGAUUCAAAUCUACAUUAGUAAUUUCAGAAAAAGUUUGAUACAGAUACUCUCCCUAGGUUGAAUUUUUUGAUGAAAUAGGUCUUCAAAUUUGUGUGAUAUUUUAUACAAUUAUGUUAAUUAAUACUUGAUUUUUUGUAGAAUUGGUGAUAUAUUUUAUGUAAAAGUUAUUGAAAUAAUCAAUUAUGCUUAAUUUUCAUAAAAUAAAAGAAAACCAAGAUUAUGCUGUCCUCAAUAUUUGUCUUAUAGUGUGUUUCUUGUGAAAAUUGGUGAUUUUCAUGAAAAAUUAAGUUUCAGCAAAGGGGCAACUUUGAGGGGCUGUAAUUCUUUAAAGUCCACACUAACAUACUCUUUUUUAUGUUUUAAAUGUCUUUCGGAUAAAGAUGUAUCAGUUAAAACGGUUUAUCAAAAAAGUUUGAUACUUCUGAAAAAAUUCAAACCAGGAGAGAACAUCCUUAAGUCUGUUUUGAAGGUUUGUUUAACAAACUCAUAAAUGUACAUGAAUGUUUAUUAAGAUCGUAUUUGUUGAAAUACCAAAUAAAAUCUUGUUCAGUCAGACACAACAGAAUGAGCCAUAUCAAAUGAUAAAUCGUACUUACGAUCGUCUGCUCUUUGUACAUCCAUGUUUGAACAAAACAAAUAUUUUUAAAUCCAUCAAAUUUAGUUGACGCUACAAGUGUUACACAUAUAAAUAUAUAGAAGUCUAUAGGCUACAAGUGAUGAAAAAAAACGAAACGCACUUCGAUUUCAACGGCUUACUCAAGUAGGAGAAGGGAGAGUGUGUAUGUCUACUCUUAAAUUAAAGCGCCCCGUUUCCUUACAGUCAUAAGUACUGUUUCUAGAGUCUUCAAUUAAAUUUCAGAAACAUUUCACGUGCACAAGGUCGAUAAAUACAUGCACAUGUAUGCUCUGGAAAAUAAAUCCAGAAAACAUUUUAAUGCUCAACAUGUAUUGUUUAAAAUAGAUAUAUUCAUUAUUAACUUGUCUAUUGUUAAAUGUUUAAAAAUCAUUAUUUUGUAUCAUGAAAUUAUUUAGGUUCACCUAGAUGUACACUCCUAAAUCCAAACUGGACAUUAACAAGGCACAUCCGAUCGAAAAAGCAGUUAGAAAUCAGUAAUUUAAAGAAAAACUGAGGACAUAAAAAGUGGGGGGUUAUAGAUCAUUUUUUAAAAUUAUUGGCCAAAAUAUUGAAUUUUUAUGCAAAAUGUCGGGUAAAUUAAUUUACACUUUUAUUAGAAUUGGUGUUUUGUUUGGAAAAAUAUAUCAACAAAAAUUAAUGAAUUACAACAUUUGUAUUAGUUCCAAGUCUCAACUAUUUGUAUCAUGAAUUUUAAAUCUGAAAUACAAGUAUUGGGGUAAAUAAUUGACGAUAUAUUGGAUAAAAUACAUGUAGAAACUGUAAAAUCAUUCAAAUGUAGAUUAUUUUAAUUGAAGAAUACUUCCCCCACAAAACGUAGUCUUUCCAAACCUUUUCAAAACUGGAAUCGACGUAAAAGUUUUCUACUGGAUAUAUUUAUAUUUAGUAAAUAUAUAAUAGUAUAUUUUGGACCAAUAUCUUAAGGACCAUUAUCUACACAGUCAUAGCAUCCUGCCAGCUAUGCUCAAAACUUGAGGCGUUAACUUCCUUAAACAAAUGCAAUGAUAAACUGGAGCACAUUAAAAAUCGUUAGUUGAUGAGCAUUCCAUUAAACUGCUAAUUGAUAAACAUUUGAAUGAAUUGCUUCGUUGAUAAACACUUAGAGCACAUAAAACCUUAUUAAUUUCACUUACCCAUCCUUUCUUUGCUCUAAUAACUAGUUAUAUGAUAAUAAAUAAGAAUCUUAUUACAGCUACAUAAUCUAGCAAGGUCUCCACAGUGCAUGACAUCCUCUAACAUUUCUCCAUGCAGUCACCUAGC